rnacentral:rRNA from 1 species
CUUUAUUUUAAAAAUUUUUUUAUUUAAGUAGUAAGAGUUGUUGGUAAAUAAAUAUUUUAUUUAUAGUAUACUUGAAACUUAAAAGGCUUGGCGGUGUCAUAUAUCCUUCCAGGGGAGCUUGCUUAUUAAUUUGAUAUUCCUCAAUYUAUACUUACUUUUUCUUGAAUAAGUGAACAGUUUGUGUAUUGCUGUCGUCAGUUUAUUUUGUAAAAAUUUAGAAAAAACUUUGUAAUGAAUUGAUUAUAAUGUCAAGUCAAAAUGCAGCUUAUGAAAAAGGUUUAUAAAGUGAGCUACAAUUUGUAAUAUUUAAUCUGAUUAAAUUAUGUAAUUAAUUUAUGAAGUUGGACUUGGUAGUAAUAAAAGUAUAAAUAGUGUGU